rnacentral:rRNA from 1 species
UACGGGGGGGGGCAAGCGUUGUUCGGAAUUACUGGGCGUAAAGGGCUCGUAGGCGGCCAACUAAGUCAGACGUGAAAUCCCCAGGCUCAACCUGGGAACUGCGUCUGAUACUGGAUGGCUUGAAUCCGGGAGAGGGAUGCAGAAUUCCAGGUGUAGCGGUGAAAAUGCGUAGAUAUCUGGAGGAAUACCGGUGGCGAAGGCGGCAUCCUGGACCGGCAUUGACGCUGAGGAGCGAAAGCUAGGGGAGCAAACGGG